rnacentral:tRNA from 1 species
GCCUCUGUGGUCCAGUGGUUGAGUGUUGGACUCGCGUUCCGGAGGUCCCGGGUUCGAAUCCCGGCGGGGACA